UUUGCUUUUAAUAAUAAACAGACCGGUUGGCGUGUGGGGAAAGAUCGUUGGAUCUUUAUGUGCCAUUGCUGGUGUGCUGACUAUUGCACUUCCAGUUCCCGUUAUCGUGAGUAAU
rfam:Clunio marinus genome assembly, contig: CLTMA_superscaffold_50